ensembl:lncRNA
ACUUCCCAGCUGUGUGACCCUGGGCAAGUCACUUAACCCCCAUUGCCUAGCCCUUAGCACUCUUCUGCCUUGGAACCAAUAACCAGUAUUGAUUCAAAGAUGGAAGGUAAGGGUUUAAAAAAAAGAAAAGAAAGAAAGGGGAAGAAAGAAAGAGAGAGAGAAAGGGAUAAAGAAACUGAGAAAAGAAAGAGAAAGGGAGAAAGAAAAGAAAAAAGGUAGGAAGCAAAGAAAGAAAAAGGGAAGGAGAGAAAGAAGGGAAGGAAGAAAGAAAAAGAAAGAAAGAAAAAGUAAGAGAGAAAGAAAGAAAGAAAGAAAGAAAGAAAGAAAGAAAGAAAGAAAGAAAGAAAGAAAGAAAGAAAGAAAGAAAGAAAGAAAGAAAGAAAGAAAGAAAGAAAGAAAGAAAGAAGGAAAGAAGGAAAGAAGGAAAGAAGGAAAGAAGGAAAGAAAGAAAGAAAGAAAGAGGAAGAAAAGAAAAAUGAAGGAGAGAAAAGGAAAGAAAAAAGGAAAGGAAAGAAAGAAAAAGGGAAAAGGAGAGAAAGAAGGAAAAGAAGAAAGAAAAGGAAAGAAAGAAAAAGGUAAAAGGAGAGAAAGAUGGAAGAGAAGGAAUUCCCCUUUACUGGAAAAGGACCCUUCUUCCAAAGAGUCCAGCAGAUGUUGGACCUGCCCCUGUCCAACAUAGAUAUACUUCUUCAUUCUGAUGCAAGGCCUUACAUGUACCAAUGGUGGCUUAAAUUUGGCUUUGGAUGGCCCAGGGGGUCAGUCAGUUGUUUCUGAUUUGUCAUUUGCUAGCACACACUGGUCAUAGACCAUCCUCCUAUACAGUUAAUCCUUAAGUGGGGGUGUAUACAUUCCUGGUUGCUAGAAUUCUAAAGACUAAGCAGGGUGGAGUAAAACUAAAAUUCACACUUCUCAGAAGUUUCUGAUAGGACCCCAUACUCAACUCCAUUUUCUAGAAUCCCUUUUUAACUUGAUUGGUGAUUUGUAGAUGAUCCUCAAGGCACAGUUAAAUUUCCUCUCCCCAUUCAAAUUAGAUUAUUAUGUGACUUCAAAGGCCGUCUUGCACUUAGACUAAGGUCUUUUCAUAUAUUGAUUGAAACAUGUUCUCUUCUAGUCAAGGUAGCAGAACUAAAAUGGGAAAGGAUAAUUUAUAUCCUACCCUUACAAGGUCAACUCGUUCUUUGACAGAGAACAACCUUGCCAGCUUCAAAGGGUCUGGAGGAUGUGGAUCUUCUUUAUCUUCUCAUCAGUGUUCCAAAUGGCAUCUUCAGAUCAGCUGGUGGCAAGGUUUGCACCCAUGAAAGUCAAUGACAGAUUGGAUUUAGGAUUCUAGAGAGCCAAACCUGGUGUCAGAAGGACCUGGGUUCAAAUCUGGCCUCAGAUACAUCCUAGCUCUGUUACCCUAGACAAAUCACUUAAAAGGUUGGUUUGUUUUUGUUUUUUGUUGUUUUGUUUUGUUUUGCUUUGCUUUGCUUUGCUUUGCUUUAAAAGAUGGGACAAACAAACAAACAAACAAAAAAGAUGGGACAAAAGUACUUCAUGCAAACAUUAACUUUGAGCUCUCUGUAGGCUAUGUGUGGUCUCUAAGUUUGAGCCCACUCUCCUGAACUCUGUAUUAUAGGGAGAGUGUGCCACAGCCCUUUAUUGUAUUUCCUUAUUAAAUACCUCUUUCUUUUUCUCAGUUAUUUUUUGGUUUAUUUCUGUUGUUUAUUUUUAAUUUUUAAAAUUUUCAAUUACAUGUCCACGAAAAUCGAGUAACAGUUGGGGAUUUAAACAAUAUUUUCUUAUUUCUUUUUGAAUCAAUACCACGUUUUGGUUCCAAGGCAGAAGAGCAGUAAGGGAUAAGCAAUGGGAGUUAAGUGACUUGCCCAGGGUCACACAGAUAGGAAGUGUCUGAGGCCAGAUUUGAACCUACAAGCUCCCAUCUCUAGGCCUGGCUCUCAAUCCACUGAGCCACCCAACUACCCCCUAUUUUAUUUUUUUUAAUAUUUUUCCAUAGUUACGUGAUUCAUGUUCUUUCCAUCCCCUUUCUUCCCCCCUCCCAGAGCCAACAAGCAAUUCCACUGGGUUAGACAUUAACAUUGGGUUUUUUUUUUAUUUUUUUAGCUCCAAAUUUUCCCCUUCCUUCUCUCCCCUCCCCUCCUUGAGAAGACAAGUUGAUAUAGAUUAUACAUGUGCAGUCAUGCAAAACAUUUCCACCUUAGCCAUUUUGCAAAAGAAAACGCAGACCAAACCCACCCCCUCAACCCAAGAAUAAUAAAGUUUAAAAAGGAAUGCUUCCA